AAUUGAUAUAGGGUUCCACCCACGGGUUCAAGGUAAUUAAGUUCUUAACUCACCAAGCCAUGGCGUCAUGUACAAUCUUAGCCCGAAGGAUUGCGGCGGAGCUUUGUUCCUCGUGUAAAUAGUAAGGGUUUCAUCAUCAUUAGGGCUGGAGUCGACGAAUAAAAUAAAAGAGCAGUCAAAAGUCAACAACUGGGAUGUGUAUGGUUUUAGAUUCUCCUUUAGCAUACAACCUUAUCCAGAUAAAGAUUGAAGUCAUAUGUUUUGUUAAUUAGGUCUCAAAUUGAAACCUCGAAGGAAAUGAAGUGGAGCUCGGGUUGGUAAGUCGUUCAUCAUCGAUCAUUAGGUAACAAUUCACAAUCUCAAGUCACCUAACUGACUCGCCAUUUCAAAAUUUUAUCAAUUAAUACCUAGAAGAUGUAUAUGGUUGGGUUUGAGAUACUCCAUGAAACCAGUUUUGAAAUUAUGAUUUUCGCAAAGUAAUCGGCAAGUGGGUUGGAGAAGGAAAACCUUCAGUUGUACCAGUUCUAGACUAGUGUGUUACAAGUUUUUAACAUUACGAUUUCUAAUAAUAUUGCAAAUGAUCAUUGUCAUUUGGAUUACCUUACUUUGAUCCUUAUUCUUUUCUUUUAUGUUUUACAAGUACAAUUAUGACAAUCUUAAAGAACAGAGUGAAAAGUAUUUAGAUAGCUGGAAGCUAAAAGAGAUCAUUGCCACUAAAGUUGUACUUGGUGGUUACUUAAGCUUCAAUGACACUUUUAUUCUUCUGGAUCAUGAAUGAUACCGACUUUUUCUCUGGUGAGUAACACAUGGCCAUAGUAUCUUCAAGAAAUUUGGCUCUUUUUUUCCUGCACUUUCUGUAGCAAAACGCAAAAACCAUAAGAAUCGAUCAACACCAAUUCAAAACUUGCAAAAUGGAAACAAGCCCGACAACUAUUGAUAAACAAGAAGCUGUUAUAACCUACAAUGAAGAUAUUUCCUGGGCUAAGGCGAAGCAUUAUGAGAAUGAAUAACUGAAAGAAAGGUGUGCUAAGCUUCUUUUAGGAUAAGAUAUCUUGUGGAAUAACAUAUGUCAGGUGGUGGCAAAGGCACUUCAUCUGCUUUGGCUUUAUAAAAUGCCAUUCAAAUCUUGCUGGUGCUCUUUAUUUGUGAUUAAAAAGUUGUUUAAUUAAAUGGUUUUUGUUCAUUUUUAAUGUUUUUUUGGUUAAACUUCUUAAUCUUUAUCUAAAAAGAUGUUUAAUUUAAUGAUUUUUGUUGUUAAUUUUUCAAUGUUUUUUAGUUAAAUUUGUAGCUUCUGCGAUUAGAGAGCAGCAUAAAGUGCUCUAAUGUUGGAAGAUAGGAAAACAAGAUGGGUAAGAAAAGAUGGUCAGAACGGGUCAAAUUUAGAGAGCAGCAUAAAGUGCUCUAAUGUUACCACUUUGUAGUCUUCAGAACUGGUCAAAUUUACCAUCUUUUAGUAAACGGGUCAAGGUACCGCGUUUGUAAACGGGUAAAAAUUAACAUUUUUUUAAGCGGGUCAAGAUUACAAUUUAUAGUAACCGGAUUAAAUUAUCACUUUUAGGUGACCGGGUCACAUGAGCAUUUUGGUAAAAGGGACAACAUUACCAUUUUUGCGGAUGGGACAAAAUUACCAUCUUUAGUAAAGGGGUCAGGUUUACCGUGUUAGUAAGGGGUGAAGGUUACCGUUUUUAGUAAGCGGGUCAGAAGGAGAUACUUUAUUAAACGCGCCAAACUCAUCCUUUUUGGUAAUCAGGUCAAACUCUUUUUUUUGUAGUAAAUGAGUCAAAAUACCAUUUUUUGGUGAACUGGUCAAAAUUAUAAUUUUAGUAAACAUGUCAAAAUUGUCGCUCUUAGUAAGCGAGUCAAAUUCAUCGUUUUUAGUAAUCGAGUCAAAUUACCAUUUUUAGUGAACGGGUCGAAAUUAUAAUUUCAGUAAACGGGUCAAACAUAUCAUAUUUAGUAAACACGUGGGUCGAAAUUGUAAUUUUAGUAAACGGGUCAAACAUAUCAUAUUUAGUAAACACGUGGGUCAAAAUUAUAACUUUAGAAAACGGGUCAAACAUGUUUAGGCACACCGGAACUUUAAUGGGUUUUUUAUAACAUUUAUUGAUCAGCAUGCACUAUAUAAUGGGGAGCAUCAAUCAGAAGAUAAAAAAGAAAAAGGGGCCAAAACUUUAUAUGCUCUAGGAAACCGAAGCAACAAGCACCUAGUGGCAUGGGAAGAAUUUGAAGCGCCCGAUGUCGGCUGAUCUCACGCAUGUGAUGUGACCAAUGAAGAUUAGUGAGUGUCUCUUUUUUUAGUUACAUACUUUGAGGAUAAAUCGUGCAACUGUGGGUUUCAGGUCAUUUGUGAUGAUGAUGUGAGGGAAAAUAUACCUGCUAUGGUUUCUUGCAAUGAGGAUACACAAGUAAUUGCUACCAAAAUAUGGUUAAUAAACAGUACGAUAAAACCUUGUGUUUUAACAAGGUAUUAUUUAAUUUUUCUAUUGUUUGUGUAAAUAUCUAAACUUGGCUCUUAAAAUUUUUAUUUUUAGUACCAUACAUUGGUGGGAAACUGUUUGAUUUGCUUGAUGACCAUUUUCUUGCUUUUGAAGUCAAUUUGAGUCAGGUUAUGGUGUGCUUGGGCAGGGUUGGAGGUACAAGUAGGAGGGGUUGAAGCCAUGAAAUUUGUUGAAAAAUGGCAAGAACCUAAGGGAUUUAAUUUUUACUAGAUUACAUUGUGGGAACAAUUAAUUUGGUCUGCGCAGUGUUAAUGAAAAGACAUAGAAGCUAAGGAUGAGAAUUGGCAGGGGGCUGGCUUUGAGAGACUAGAGAAAACUUUCAUUUGGAGCAAGACACCAACUGACAUAGUGGAGUAUAUGGCAAGAUGAGUCUGUGUGAGUGCUAAUAAUAUUAAUAUUCCUAGAAGGUCAUUACAGUGGUGGAAGUUUUUAAAGAUUACAAGAGAAUUAUUAUUAUUUUAGCUGCAAUUUGCGUGUUAAUAUUGAUUUAUUACU